UCGUUUCGAAUUUGUUAUGUCCCAAUCUUAUUUUAGUUUCAACCUAGAGAAAGACUCGUGUUUUAAGAAAGUCUUUGGCACACAAUUGAUGUGAGAAAUAUUCCACUGGCGGUUUCCGGUCGAUGCUCGUGGGUUGAGGAGUUGGAGUGCUUGGUGUUAUGGCGUCGUCGUAGCCAUAGUUUAACUUCAAUUAUCUCCAGAAUUAUUGAAUUCGUUUAAGCGAAGAUUUUUUAUCUUUA